AGAGUUUGAUCCUGGCUCAGGACGAACGCUGGCGGCGCGCCUAACACAUGCAAGUCGAACGAGCGAGAGAGAGCUUGCUUUCUCAAGCGAGUGGCGAACGGGUGAGUAACGCGUGAGGAACCUGCCUCAAAGAGGGGGACAACAGUUGGAAACGACUGCUAAUACCGCAUAAGCCCACAGCUCGGCAUCGAGCAGAGGGAAAAGGAGCAAUCCGCUUUGAGAUGGCCUCGCGUCCGAUUAGCUGGUUGGUGAGGUAAUGGCCCACCAAGGCGACGAUCGGUAGCCGGACUGAGAGGUUGAACGGCCACAUUGGGACUGAGACACGGCCCAGACUCCUACGGGAGGCAGCAGUGGGGAAUAUUGCACAAUGGGGGAAACCCUGAUGCAGCGACGCCGCGUGGAGGAAGAAGGUCUUCGGAUUGUAAACUCCUGUUGUUGAGGAAGAUAAUGACGGUACUCAACAAGGAAGUGACGGCUAACUACGUGCCAGCAGCCGCGGUAAAACGUAGGUCACAAGCGUUGUCCGGAAUUACUGGGUGUAAAGGGAGCGCAGGCGGGAAGACAAGUUGGAAGUGAAAUCUAUGGGCUCAACCCAUAAACUGCUUUCAAAACUGUUUUUCUUGAGUAGUGCAGAGUAGGCGGAAUUCCCGGUGUAGCGGUGGAAUGCGUAGAUAUCGGGAGGAACACCAGUGGCGAAGGCGGCCUACUGGGCACCAACUGACGCUGAGGCUCGAAAGUGUGGGUAGCAAACAGGAUUAGAUACCCUGGUAGUCCACACCGUAAACGAUGAUUACUAGGUGUUGGAGGAUUGACCCCUUCAGUGCCGCAGUUAACACAAUAAGUAAUCCACCUGGGGAGUACGACCGCAAGGUUGAAACUCAAAGGAAUUGACGGGGGCCCGCACAAGCAGUGGAGUAUGUGGUUUAAUUCGACGCAACGCGAAGAACCUUACCAAGUCUUGACAUCCCUUGACGAUGCUGGGAACAGUAUUUCUCUUCGGAGCAAGGAGACAGGUGGUGCAUGGUUGUCGUCAGCUCGUGUCGUGAGAUGUUGGGUUAAGUCCCGCAACGAGCGCAACCCUUACUGUCAGUUACUACGCAAGAGGACUCUGGCAGGACUGCCGUUGACAAAACGGAGGAAGGUGGGGAUGACGUCAAAUCAUCAUGCCCUUUAUGACUUGGGCUACACACGUACUACAAUGGCGUUAAACAAAGAGAAGCAAGACCGCGAGGUGGAGCAAAACUCAGAAACAACGUCCCAGUUCGGACUGCAGGCUGCAACUCGCCUGCACGAAGUCGGAAUUGCUAGUAAUCGUGGAUCAGCAUGCCACGGUGAAUACGUUCCCGGGCCCCAUGUACACACCGCCCGUC
rnacentral:rRNA from 1 species